CUGCUUCCUUCCCACCCCUCACUGAUUCCUGCCCAUGCACCGCUAUGAUCUUCUUGUGACCCCUCCAAGAGGAGAGAAGGGAUUGUAAAUAACCUCACACCUGUCUCUCUUGGCCAAUGCUGAAGUGACACAUGAGCUUGCUGUGAAGUCCCUCUCUGGGUUCAGCCUUUUCUCAGUGUGCAGUGAACUUUAACGUCCUGGACGGCUGCGUCACUCCAACCAGGAACCACGGGAGCCUACUGAACUGCAGGAGGGCCACCGGAGGAAAUCAAAUCUUGCACGACCCAUUCCCCAAACCCGCCUGUACCACUUCAACGGGAGGGGACUCUCCAGUGAUCAGGUGGACUGGUCUGGUAGCUGGUUGUGGCUCCGAAGCCUUCCCAAUUCUGCCAGCAAGAGGCAGGCCCAGGGAAACCGGCCCAGAGCCAUUCACUCCAUCCUUUGCUAGUAGCUCUGCCCCAGAUGUGCCAGAGGUAUGUUUCACACAGAACGUGGGUGAAUAUUUGUUCAAGCAGUAUUG